rnacentral:rRNA from 1 species
ACCCGCUGAACUUAAGCAUAUCAGUAAGCGGAGGAAAAGAAACUAACUAGGAUUCCCCGAGUAGCGGCGAGCGAAAGGGGAGAAGCCCAGCGCCGAAGCCCGCGCGACCUUGGUCCGCAGUGCAAUGUGGCGUUUCGGCGGCGACUCGGGGCUCAGCGCUCCCUGGCACGAGUAUCUCUGAAUGGGUCUCCCAAAGCGGGUGUCAGGCCUCUAUCAGCCAGACGGGGGUGCGCCUCUUGUUGUCGUCGCGGAGUCGGGUUGCUUGAGAGUGCAGCCCAAAGUGGGUGGUAAGCUCCAUCUAAGGCUAAAUACCUAGUGCGAGACCGAUAGCAAACAAGUACCGUGAGGGAAAGUUGCAAAGAACUUUGAAAAGAGAGUUCAAGAGUACGUGAAACCGUUCAGAGGCAAACGGACGGAACUGGGCGAGUUCGCCGUCGUCAUUCAGCCGCGGACGCGUAAUCCGCGGUGCACUUGGCGGCGGCGGAGCGCGACGACCGCCUGUCGAGUCGUCAGAAGCCCGGCGGCAAGGUGGCGACGCGUUCGCGCGUCGUGUUACAGGCCGCCAUGGCGUUGGCUGACUUGGCGGGCGAGGAGCGCCUGCGGUGCACUCCCUCGGGAGUGGCCCGAUGCGGUGGGCUUGCGGCCGCCGGCGGCGAACUGCUCGCAGUUUGCUGCCAUCGGACUGUCUGUCGCGCCGUGCGGUGCCACGAGGCACCCAGGGUCCGGGUCGUGUGGUUCCUGGCACUCCGUCCGACCCGUCUUGAAACACGGACCAAGGAGUUGAGCACGCGCGCGAGUCGAUGGGCUCGUAGAACCCCAGUGGCGCAGCUAAGGCAAAACGGGCGUGAUCCGGCACUGGCGUGUCGGCGCAACGCCGGCCCGCAGGCGACUCGCUGCAAGUGCCUGCGGUGCAAGAGCGUGCGUGCUCAGACCCGAAAGGUGGUGAACUAUGCUUGAGCAGGGCGAAGCCAGAGGAAACUCUGGUGGAGGCUCGCAGCGAUCCUGACGUGCAAAUCGGUCGUCAAACUUGAGCAUAGGGGCGAAAGACUAAUCGAACCGCCUAGUAGCUGGUUCCCUCCGAAGUUUCCCUCAGGAUAGCUGGCACUCGGGAUAAAUGGUUUUAUCCGGUAAAGCGAAUGAUUAGAGGCAUUGGGGACGAAACGUCCUCAACCUAUUCUCAAACUUUAAAUGGGUAAGAGGCGCGACCCUUCCUGAUCGGGGUCGCGUGCUUGAACAGAGAGUGCCCAGUGGGCCGUUUUUGGUAAGCAGAACUGGCGCUGUGGGAUGAACCAAACGCGCGGUUAGGGUGCCUAACGCACGCUCAUGAGACACCACAAAAGGUGUUGGUUGAUAUAGACAGCAGGACGGUGGCCAUGGAAGUUGGAAUCCGCUAAGGAGUGUGUAACAACUCACCUGCCGAAUCAACUAGCCCUGAAAAUGGAUGGCGCUGGAGCGUGCGACCCAUACCGCGCCGUCGGGGCAACGCGUGCGAAAUGCCAGGCCCCGACGAGUAGGAGGGCGUGUCGGUGGCGUUGAAGCGUAGUGCGCGAGCACGCGUGGAGCCGCCUUCAGUGCAGAUCUUGGUGGUAGUAGCAAGUAUACAAAUGAGAACUUUGUAGACCGAAGUGGAGAAGGGUUCCAUGUGAACAGCAGUUGGACAUGGGUCAGUCGGCCCUAAGAGAUCGGAAAAUUCCGUUCUGAACGGGGGAGACGCGUCGCGUGACCGCCGUCUGAAUGGCACAGCGAGCGGCACACACACGCGCUCGCGCUCGUCACCCCGAUGCGAUCGAAAGGGAAUCGGGUUAAUAUUCCCGAACCUGGCAGUGGAGAUUGGGCCCUCGGGCCCCAGUGCGGUAACGCAACCGAACUCGGAGACGCCAGCGUCGAUCCCGGGAAGAGUUCUCUUUUCUUUGUUAGGAGCGGACUCCCUGGAAUUGGCUUGUCCAGAGAUAGGGACGUUGCAUCCGUAAAGCGUCGCGCCUCACGCGGCGUCCGGUGCAUCGGCGUUGGCCCUUGAAAAUCCGAGGGAGGCAGUGUAAUUUUCACUCCAGGCCGUACCCGAAUCCGCAGCAGGUCUCCAAGGUGAACAGCCUCUGGUCGAUAGAACAAUGUAGGUAAGGGAAGUCGGCAAAUCCGAUCCGUAACUUCGGGAUAAGGAUUGGCUCUGAGGUGCGGGCUGCUUCGGGUCGCGGCAAGAAGCGGAUCGUGCGUUGGUUGGACUGGGCGCGUUUACGCGCGUUCGGACCGCCGCCAGCGCGCGUCCGUGGGCGGCCGUGGCUUUCGCCGGCGUGGCCUCGCGGCCGCGUCGGCUUCGUUCGGCCUAAACGCACAGCACAGAACUGGCACGGACUCUGGGAACACGACUGUCUAAUUAAAACAAAGCAUCGCGAUGGCCGCUGGUCGGUGUUGACGCGAUGUGAUUUCUGCCCAGUGCUUUGAAUGUCAAAGUGAAGAAAUUCAACCAAGCGCAGGUAAACGGCGGGAGUAACUAUGACUCUCU